rnacentral:rRNA from 1 species
AGCAGCCGCGGUAAUUCCAGCUCCAAUAGCGUAUAUUAAAGUUGUUGCAGUUAAAAGCUCGUAGUUGAAUUUCGGGGUUAGUAAGUUGGUCGUGCCACUGGUAUGUACUGGCUUUACUGAUUCCUCCUUCUUGUAGAACCGUAAUGCCAUUAAGUUGGUGUUGCGGGGAAACAGGACUGUUACUUUGAAAAAAUUAGAGUGUUUAAAGCAAGCUAACGCUUGAAUACAUUAGCAUGGAAUAAUGAAAUAGGGCGUUCGAUCCUAUUUUGUUGGUUUCUAGGAUUGACGUAAUGAUUAAUAGGGAUAGUUGGGGGCAUUAGUAUUCAAUUGUCAGAGGUGAAAUUCUUGGAUUUAUUGAAGACUAACUACUGCGAAAGCAUUUUGCCAAGGAUGUUUUCAUUAAUCAAGAACGAAAGUUAGGGGAUCGAAGACGAUCAGAUACCGUCGUAGUCUUAACCAUAAACUAUGCCGACUAGGGAUCGGAUGAUGUUAAUUUUUAUAAUGACUCAUUCGGCGCCUU